UGGCGUAAACAAAGGGAAGCGAAGUGGCGAUAUGGAGCAAAUCCCAAAAAUAACGUCCCAGUUCGGAUUGUAGUCUGCAACCCGACUACAUGAAGCCGGAAUCGCUAGUAAUCGCGGAUCAGAAUGCCGCGGUGAAUACGUUCCCGGGUCUUGUACACACCGCCCGUCACACCAUGGGAGUUGGAAAUGCCCGAAGUCAGUGGCCCAACCGGAAGGGGGGAGCUGCCGAAGGCAGGUUCGAUGACUGGGGUGAAGUCGUAACAAGGUACC
rnacentral:rRNA from 1 species